GAUGAACGCUGGCGGCGUGCCUAAUACAUGCAAGUCGAGCGAACAGACGAGGAGCUUGCUCCUCUGACGUUAGCGGCGGACGGGUGAGUAACACGUGGAUAACCUACCUAUAAGACUGGGAUAACUUCGGGAAACCGGAGCUAAUACCGGAUAAUAUAUUGAACCGCAUGGUUCAAUAGUGAAAGACGGUUUUGCUGUCACUUAUAGAUGGAUCCGCGCCGCAUUAGCUAGUUGGUAAGGUAACGGCUUACCAAGGCAACGAUGCGUAGCCGACCUGAGAGGGUGAUCCGCCCACUGGGACAGGAGACGCGGCCCAGGCCCCUACGGGAGGCCGGAGGGGGGAAUUCUCCGAAAGGGGGGAAAGCCUGACGGGGCAACGCCGGGGGGGUGAUGAAGGUCUUCGGAUCGUAAAACUCUUUUAUGGGGGAAAAAAAAAUGUGUAAGUAAAUAUGCACGUUUUGACGGUACCUAAUCAGAAAGCCCCGGCUAACUACGG
rnacentral:rRNA from 1 species